rnacentral:tRNA from 3 species
UGUGGCAGAAAAGUGCUAUGGGUUUAAGCUCCAUCUAUGGGGGCCAUUCCCCCCAUUAAAA